rnacentral:tRNA from 1 species
ACCCGGUUGGCUCAGUCAGUAGAGCAUGCGACUCACGAUCUCAGGGUCAUGGGUUCAAACUCCCAUGUUGGGCG